CCCUUCCGUAAGGUGGAACCUGCGGAAGGAUCAUUAUUGAUUGCGAAUCGUUGUCUUCGGUGCUGGCCAGCUCUGGCAAGUGCACGUUGGCGGCUUUUCAUCCAAUACCCCUGUGAACCUUUGGCCUCUUGCUAGCUUUGGCUGGCAGAGGAUUUUUUACACCCACUCGAAUGUAAUGAAAUUAUUGUUGUGCGCAAGCACUACUGUACAACUUUCAACAACGGAUCUCUUGGCUCUCGCAUCGAUGAAGAACGCAGCGAAAUGCGAUAAGUAAUGUGAAUUGCAGAAUUCAGUGAAUCAUCGAAUCUUUGAACGCACCUUGCACCCUUUGGCAUUCCGAAGGGUAUGCUCGUUUGAGUGUCAUUGUACUCUCACACUUCUGAUCCUUUUGGAUUGGGAGCGGUGGACUUGGGUGUUUGCUGCUUUACUGCGGCUCACCUCAAAUGCAUUAGUGCAACUCUUGGUUGGACAUAGUACGGCGUGAUAAGUAUCUUCGCCGGCACCUCGCAAGAGGGUGGCUGAUCAGGAGCUCUGUGCUCUCCAACUGUCUUCAGACAACAACUGACAACUUGACCUCAAAUCGAGUAGGACCACCCGCUGAACUUAAGCAUAUCAAUUAAGCGGAGGAA
rnacentral:rRNA from 1 species